CCUACGGGGUGCAGCAGUGGGGGAUAUUGCACAAUGGGGGGAACCCUGAUGCAGCGACGCCGCGUGGGUGAAGGAGCGUUUCGGCGCGUAAAGCCCUAUCGGCAGGGAAGAAGAUGACGGUACCUGACCAAGAAGCCCCGGCUAACUACGUGCCAGCAGCCGCGGUAAUACGGAGGAUGCGAGCGUUAUCCGGAUUUAUUGGGUUUAAAGGGUGCGUAGGCGGGCUUUUAAGUCAGCGGUAAAAAUUCGGGGCUCAACCCCGUCCGGCCGUUGAAACUGGGGGCCUUGAGUGGGCGAGAAGAAGGCGGAAUGCGUGGUGUAGCGGUGAAAUGCAUAGAUAUCACGCAGAACCCCGAUUGCGAAGGCAGCCUUCCGGCGCCCUACUGACGCCGAGGCACGAAAGUGCGGGGAUCGAACAGGAUUAGAUACCCCUGUAGUC
rnacentral:rRNA from 1 species